UACAGAGGGUGCGAGCGUUAAUCGGAAUUACUGGGCGUAAAGGGUGCGUAGGCGGUUAUAAAAGUGAGAUGUGAAAGCCCCGGGCUUAACCUGGGAAAGUCAUCUCAAACUGUGUGACUAGAGUCGGGUAGAGGGGAGUGGAAUUUCCGGUGUAGCGGUGAAAUGCGUAGAUAUCGGAAGGAACACCAGUGGCGAAGGCGGCUCCCUGGACCUGUACUGACGCUCAGGCACGAAAGCGUGGGGAGCAAACAGG
rnacentral:rRNA from 1 species